AUACACCGUGCGCGUAUCGCGAACCGACUGCCUCGCACUACAGGUAGCUGAUCGAGAGGCGCAGAGAUCCCCACUUCGAGUUCGUUUCGUGCUUCUUUGCGCGUUCGUUCGCUCGCACGUUUCACCGGUAAGGCUUCGCGAUGAUGUGGUUCGUCGUAGGUUGUCCCUUAGCUGCCGUCGCAGCCGCGACACGUGUGCGUGUCUCCGUUCCUUCCUUCGAUUAUUUCCAACGAUUAUUUCGAUACGAACUUGGCCGAGCGAAACGCGGUGGUGAAAAAAAAAAAAAAAGAACAGAAGAUCGAACAGCGAUUCACCGAACGACCGACAGCGUGUCGCGUCGUAUCCGGCUGCCGUCGCGAGAGUAGGCCAACGAAAUGCGCACAGACGUUUGAGCGGAACAGAGCGCCAAUUGUCCAUCUCCAAGGGAAUACUUACGAGAUGCUCGCCCGAGAGAACCUCCAGCAAGGAAAUGAGGUUGUACCCGUCCCGCAGGUCUUCGAACAAAUCUCCGACAUGUCUGCUGGCCUGCAACAACGAUUUCACGCAUCAGUGCACUGGUCGAAAGCUGGAAACAGCCUGGUGUUCUUUAUUCUCGUUUCUCGCCACCUACGACCGCGCGGUGAACGAUAUCGUCUAAUAACGAAGCCGGCCGCGUUAAAAGGUGUGCAGUGGCGAGAGAGCGAGAACGAGUCGAAGGCUCGGAGGAAAGCGGACGAAAGGCACGAGGGAGGAGGAGGAAGCGCGUGUACACACGCAUCGGAUCGGCAUAACGCGAGCUGCAAGAGGGGCCGGCUCGGCGGCAUUCUUGCGGCAACGGCGCAGCAGUAUAACGGGUCCAUAGUCGGCUCACGGAGGACUUCUCGAGGGCUCUUUCGAAGACUCUCUCGCCGCUAGUAUACAGUCCGGUUCAACCUUGAGCGCGGCAAACCGUGGCUCGCGCGCGCCACUUCUUCUCCUCGAUUAAUCCAUCCGCCUUCUUUUCACUCCCAAAAAUUUCGCAAAAAUUGCACCAAUUUAUUUUCCUAUCUCUACAUCUCUCCAAUUUUCUAUCUAACCUCCUCCUUGUUUGCGAAGUGUCUUCGAAAGCGCGACUCGAGUUAUUCUACUUGCAGAAAAAAUCGAAAAAAAAAGAAAUAACUAAGUUUGAAAAUAAUAUUUUUUUGCCUAUUUCCACACAUAGCCAUUCGUAUCGGGAAAUAAACAAUUUCAUUUAUAUUUGAAAACAAAAUCUAAGCAAAAGAACCUUAAUCUUCUUUGCACAUAAAAUCACUAUAUAAUCACUUUGGAUUGUCGAAUUGUAAUAGAAACCGAAGUAAACAAAAAAAAAAAU